CCGAUCCCCUCCCCGGUCCGUCCCGGCAGCGGAACGCAAUGAGCGCCGACCCGGCCACCGUCAGAGCCCCGAAGCGGUGGAGACGGGCCGAGGACAAAGCAGUUUGCCAGCAGGGUCGACUCAAGAGCCGCCGCUAAACUAGUUAGAGCUUGAAUUCUGGUUCCAACUCAGAAACUUUCUCUACCACACGUCUUGUGACGCCCUGCGGUGGAGGCAACACUUGGUGGUGACACAUGGCGAGACAGCUGUUGCAAAGCAAGCCAGGCAUCUGUGCACUGGGAGAGUAUGAGGAGGGGACAGACUGAUGGAGCGAACAAGCAAAGGACACGUGACAGAAACAGAUAAAAUGGACAAAUACAGGGAGUUAUUAACAGUGUGGAAUUUGUGAAGCAGUAAGUAUCGUAGAGAAUGGGCCGAGGCUAGUGCUGUUUGGGGUGAAGGAGAGCCAAUGAGACAGAAGGAACCGGGUCGUCUGGGUGAAAAGGAUGGGAACAGGCCAAAGGGAGGGAACGGGUACUGAUGGGAGGUUCUGUCUGAUGAGUCUCAUAACAACACUAUGAAAGUAUUUUGGAAAUGAAAAGCUGAGUUUGUUUGAAGGCAGCAUGUUUUUUUCCUUUUCCCCCCCAAAAUAUGACUUAUAUUAGGGCUGAACGAUAUAGAAAUAAAAGCAUAUGGAUAAAAUAGAAAUCAUAUUAGUCGAUACCGAUAAUUACGAAUAAAUUCAAAACAUAUUUUGAGUGUAGCCCUGGCCAUUUUAUAGUGUUGCUUAGAAACCAAAUUUUUAGAUACAGAACACACAAAGACUGAAUUCCAACUAAACCCUUUAUUCAACCAACUUUUUACCAA